UGGGUUGUAGCUCAGUGAUAGAGCGCUUGCCUUCAACACAUAAGGCCCUGGGUUCAAUCCUCAGUACCACAU
rnacentral:tRNA from 1 species